rnacentral:rRNA from 1 species
GUGCCAGCAGCCGCGGUAAUACGAGGGGUGCAAGCGUUGCUCGGAAUUAUUGGGCGUAAAGGGUAGGUAGGUGGUCUCGUUUGUCAGGGGUGAAAGCCUUGGGCUUAACUCAAGAAGUGCCCCUGAAACGGCGAGACUCGAGUUCUGGAGAGGGUCGUGGAAUUCCCGGUGUAGCGGUGAAAUGCGUAGAGAUCGGGAGGAACACCAGAGGCGAAGGCGGCGACCUGGACAGAUACUGACACUCAACUACGAAAGCGUGGGGAGCAAACAGGAUUAGAAACCCCUGUAGUCC